rnacentral:rRNA from 1 species
GAUCAUGGCUCAGGACGAACGCUGGCGGCGCGCCUAACACAUGCAAGUCGAACGGGACUACAUUCGGGAAGUUUUCGGAUGGAACGGAUGCAGUUUAGUGGCGGACGGGUGAGUAACACGUGAGCAACCUGCCUUCGAGAGGGGAAUAACGGCUGGAAACGGUCGCUAAUACCGCAUAACGUAUCGGGAGGACAUCCUCCUGAUACCAAAGAUUUAUCGCUCGAAGAUGGGCUCGCGUCCGAUUAGGUAG